AUGCCCGCUUAUUCCCUGGGCCGGAUCAUCAACCCCUCCAAAGCUCCUGUCCGCUCCGGCGACGGCGACGGCGACGGCGGUUGCCUUCCUCCUCCUCCGUCGACCAAGAUUUCACACGCAAUGGAUGGGCAAAGCAGAAAGCAUAGGAUUUUGAUGGUGUCCGACUUCUUCUUCCCAAACUUUGGUGGUGUGGAAAGCCACAUCUAUUAUCUAUCGCAGUGCCUCCUUAAGCUUGGCCAUAAGGUUGUUGUCAUGACACAUGCAUAUGGAAAACGUUCUGGAGUACGAUAUGUUACUGGCGGCUUGAAGGUUUAUUAUGUGCCGUGGAGGCCAUUCCUGAUGCAGAAUACACUACCUACAUUAUUCAUGACAUUUCCAAUCAUAAGGACAAUUCUUAUUCGUGAGAGGAUAUCUGUUGUGCAUGGACAUCAGGCAUUUUCAACACUGUGCCACGAAGCGUUGAUGCAUGCUAGGACGAUGGGGUACAAAGUUGUCUUCACAGAUCACUCGCUUUAUGGUUUUGCUGAUGUUGGAAGCAUUCACAUGAAUAAGGUGCUGCAGUUUACUCUUGCAGAUAUUGAUCAGGCCAUAUGUGUGUCUCACACAAGCAAAGAGAACACUGUCUUGAGGUCAGGGAUAUCUCCGGACAAAGUUUUCAUGGUUCCUAAUGCAGUGGAUACUGCAAUGUUUACUCCCUCCUCCAACCGCUUAAGCUGUGAUGAAAUAAUUAUCGUUGUGAUAAGUAGAUUGGUAUAUCGAAAAGGUGCUGACCUUCUUGUUGAAGUCAUUCCAGAAGUAUGCCGUCUAUUUCCAAAGGUUCGCUUUAUUGUUGGAGGUGAUGGUCCAAAACGUGUGCGACUUGAAGAGAUGAGGGAGAAGUUCUCCCUUCAGGAUAGAGUUGAGAUGUUAGGGGCUGUACCUCAUGCUCAAGUACGAUCUGUUCUGAUAUCUGGUCAUAUAUUUCUGAACAGUUCGCUUACAGAAGCAUUUUGCAUAGCCAUUCUGGAAGCAGCAAGCUGUGGGCUUUUGACAGUAAGCACUAGAGUCGGAGGGGUUCCAGAGGUUCUACCAGAUGACAUGAUAGUACUUGCAGAACCAGAUCCAGAAGAUAUGGUACGGGCUGUGAGGCAAGCUAUCGACAUACUUCCUGGUAUAGAUCCCCAAAUUAUGCAUCGCCGGAUGAAAAGACUCUACAGUUGGGAUGAUGUGGCCAAAAGAACAGAGAUUGUCUACGAUCGUGCAAUGCAGUCAUCAAACACUAAUUUGCUAGAUCGUCUUCCCCGAUACCUCACAUGUGGAGCUUGGGCAGGCAAGCUGUUUUGCCUCGUUAUGAUCAUAAAUUACCUUGUGUGGUGCCUUCUAGAAUUCCUGCAGCCUGCUGAAGGUAUUGAAGAAGUCCCAGAUAUAGGGCCACUGCACAUUCAUUCGGAUUCAGUAGAUGACCAGUGCGAAGCGCAACGAAAUUGA
rnacentral:rRNA from 1 species